GAGGGUGUAGCUCAGUGGUAAAGCACAUGCCCAGCAAGCACAAGGUCCUGGGUUCAAUCCCCAGUACCUUCA
rfam:Camelus ferus unplaced genomic scaffold scaffold49, whole genome shotgun sequence.